rnacentral:rRNA from 2 species
GGACUACUAGGGUUUCUAAUCCCGUUUGCUCCCCUGGCUUUCGCACCUCAGCGUCAGUAAUCAACCAGUGCUCCGCUUUCGCCGCCGACGUUCCUUCCGAUAUCAACGCAUUUCACCGCUCCACCGGAAAUUCCGAGCACCCCUUUGAUCCUCAAGCAAUGCAGUUUCGGGCGCAGUUCCUCGGUUGGGCCGAGGGAUUUCACACCCGACUUACAUCGCCGCCUACGUGCGCUUUAUGCCCAGUGAUUCCGAACAACGCUCGCCACCUUCGUCUUACCGCGGCGGCUGGCAC